CCCGUCAGCGCGUGCGGAGCGCCUGCGUCAGCGCGUACGGCGCCACGGCCCGGCGCGGAACCUUGGGCGGCGCGCGCUGCUUCCGGCCGUUUAACCGCCAUGGCGGGAGCCGCGCCUCAGGGAAACUCAUCCGGUGGCUGUGGGAGGGAGAACGGUGAAGGCAGCGGGCCCGAUGGAUGAUUAGAUAUAUUCUUGGGCUGUAUCUGUCCCCAGGACUAAUCCUACCUUUGAGGAAUCCGACCCUGUCCAACAGUCUGGAGACAGAGAGCCCUGGUCCAGAGUUUACAGAAAAAUCUGCAGUUCUUCAGGCACAGAGCUGUGUGGUGGCCCAGCUCCUGCAGAAGUCGCCCUGGCUCCUUGCUGAUCUCUCCUCAGUAUCGAAGAUUCUCUAAAACCUGGUGAUUAGUGACAGCAGUGAACUGCUCACAAAGUUGUUUCAGGAGGAGGCGGAGGAUGGGAAACCUCAUGGGAGGCCCCAUGCUGAUCAUGAUGAUGACUAGUGUGUCCACUAGAAACAGAGCCAAAGAAAACUGGACAGAUGAAGCUUUCCACUGGAGCAAAAGGCGAGGCGUGAGAGUGAGUUGCCGUCAUGAAAACCUGCCAUGCAACAGUGAAUACUUAAAGAUCACGUACAUCAGCUAUGAAAUACUAACUAGUAAGGAGCAUUCCACUUACUUACCCCAGAUAAAAGUCCCUAUUGCUACAUGACUCAAGGCUAUAUCACGAGGAUCUUCUACCAUAGUGCCUAUAUCAUGAAGAAUUUAGCCUAUAAUUUCCUGAGCCGAUCUUUCCUGGUAUGUACAGCCAAUGCCUUCGAUAGUGGCUUAGGAAGGUGAACACCCCCAGUUUAAGAACCUUUUCUCUGGUUCUGUAGAUCUGUUAGCAGCACACCUGCUGUAAACUUACCUUGCAAACUAUCAUGAACAUGGUGAAAAAGAAGAUGAGGUUGGCUUCAGAGAUAGGGAGCCAGUGAGUUUGUUGCAGAGUGAAGAGGAUUGUGCCAUACAGACUAGCCUUUGUAGGGCUAGAAGAGAAAUAAAGAAGUUUUCUAAGAGGUUUGCAUCA